rnacentral:rRNA from 1 species
UACGGGGGGGGCAAGCGUUGUUCGGAAUUACUGGGCGUAAAGGGCUCGUAGGCGGCCAACUAAGUCGGAUGUGAAAUCCCCAGGCUCAACUUGGGAACUGCAUCCGAUACUGGAUGGCUUGAAUUCGGGAGAGGGAUGCAGAAUUCCAGGUGUAGCGGUGAAAUGCGUAGAUAUCUGGAGGAAUACCGGUGGCGAAGGCGGGUUGCUGGGCCGACACUGACGCUGAUGCGCGAAAGCCAGGGGAGCGAACGGG